CGUCGGGGACGUGUGAUCUUGCCCAGCGGCACUGCCAGCGCCAACUCAUAGUAGGUCAGGCCUCUGACUUAUUGAUAGUGACGAGUCCAUUCGAGCUGGCGGGCGCCAGGAUUAACUGCAAGCAGCCUGGGUCCUGUCGGUUUCAAGGCUGGGCCUCGUCGUCGAUCAUCAUGGCCAGAGAGGACAGAGUGACCACGUGAGCAGGGGCUCCCAAGGCCUCACCUGCCCUGAGCAUCCGCCCUCAUGUUGGAGGACCAAGGGCUACAGGAAAGCUGAAAACCACUCGACUGGACAUUCCCUCAGGCUCUUCUUGUAGCUCAAAGAACCUAUCUUCCUCCUUACUUUUCCCACCGCAUAAAAUACGAUCACUCUCCCCAA